UGGGGAAUCUUCCGCAAUGGACGAAAGUCUGACGGAGCAACGCCGCGUGAGUGAAGAAGGUUUUCGGAUCGUAAAACUCUGUCUUUUGGGGCGAACGUGAGUAUGGUGAACAAUCAUAGUCAGUGACGGUACCAAAGGAGGAAGCCACGGCUAACUACGUGCCAGCAGCCGCGGUAAUACGUAGGUGGCAAGCGUUGUCCGGAAUUAUUGGGCGUAAAGAGCGCGUAGGCGGGAUAGUCAGUCUGUUGUAAAGUGCGGGGCUCAACCCCGUGAUGGCAAUGGAAACAGCUAUUCUUGAGUGCAGGAGAGGAAAGUGGAAUUCCCAGUGUAGCGGUGAAAUGCGUAGAUAUUGGGAGGAACACCAGUGGCGAAGGCGACUUUCUGGACUGUGUCUGACGCUGAGGCGCGAAAGCCAGGGGAGCGAACGGGAUUAGAUACCCCGGUAGUCCUGGGCCGUAAACGAUGGGUACUAGGUGUGGGAGGUAUCGACCCCUUCCGUGCCGGAGUUAACGCAAUAAGUACCCCGCCUGGGGAGUACGGUCGCAAGACUGAAACUCAAAUGAAUUGACGGGGGUCAUAGCUGUUUCCUG
rnacentral:rRNA from 1 species